rnacentral:tRNA from 1 species
AAAAAGGUGGUAGAGUGGAAUACGGUUGGCUUGAAACCAAUUCAUGUAGGUUUGACUCCUACCCUUUUUG